GCGGUAGAGAGAAGCUUGCUUCUCUUGAGAGCGGCGGACGGGUGAGUAAUGCCUAGGAAUCUGCCUGGUAGUGGGGGAUAACGUUCGGAAACGGACGCUAAUACCGCAUACGUCCUACGGGAGAAAGCAGGGGACCUUCGGGCCUUGCGCUAUCAGAUGAGCCUAGGUCGGAUUAGCUAGUUGGUGAGGUAAUGGCUCACCAAGGCGACGAUCCGUAACUGGUCUGAGAGGAUGAUCAGUCACACUGGAACUGAGACACGGUCCAGACUCCUACGGGAGGCAGCAGUGGGGAAUAUUGGACAAUGGGCGAAAGCCUGAUCCAGCCAUGCCGCGUGUGUGAAGAAGGUCUUCGGAUUGUAAAGCACUUUAAGUUGGGAGGAAGGGCAGUUACCUAAUACGUGAUUGUUUUGACGUUACCGACAGAAUAAGCACCGGCUAACUCUGUGCCAGCAGCCGCGGUAAUACAGAGGGUGCAAGCGUUAAUCGGAAUUACUGGGCGUAAAGCGCGCGUAGGUGGUUAGUUAAGUUGGAUGUGAAAUCCCCGGGCUCAACCUGGGAACUGCAUUCAAAACUGACUGACUAGAGUAUGGUAGAGGGUGGUGGAAUUUCCUGUGUAGCGGUGAAAUGCGUAGAUAUAGGAAGGAACACCAGUGGCGAAGGCGACCACCUGGACUGAUACUGACACUGAGGUGCGAAAGCGUGGGGAGCAAACAGGAUUAGAUACCCUGGUAGUCCACGCCGUAAACGAUGUCAACUAGCCGUUGGGAGCCUUGAGCUCUUAGUGGCGCAGCUAACGCAUUAAGUUGACCGCCUGGGGAGUACGGCCGCACGGUUAAAACUCAAUGAAUUGACGGGGGCCCGCACAAGCGGUGGAGCAUGUGGUUU
rnacentral:rRNA from 1 species